rnacentral:lncRNA from 1 species
CGACCGAGGGGGAUGUGGAGCUGGAGUUGGAGACUGAGACCAGUGGACCAGAGCGGCCUCCGGAGAAGCCACGGAAACAUGACAGCGGUGCGGCGGACUUGGAGCGGGUCACCGACUAUGCAGAGGAGAAGGAGAUCCAGAGUUCCAAUCUGGAGACGAUGACUGAGAUGGAGAUAUCUCGAGCAGCAGCAGAACGCAGUUUGCGGGAACACAUGGGCAACGUGGUAGAGGCGCUUAUUGCCCUAACCAACUGAUGCGUGCUUUCUCAAAUAUACCUACUGGAUUAAUUUAUGGCAAUAAAAUUUUUUUUUGUCUUUUUCAGUUUUAUCAUCUUGGGUCAAGUAGAGUGUAUACUAUAUCCUAUGUUGUGGAGAAU